UACGUAGGGUGCGAGCGUUGUCCGGAAUUAUUGGGCGUAAAGAGCUCGUAGGCGGUGUGUCACGUCGGCCGUGAAAACCUGCAGCUUAACUGUGGGCGUGCGGUCGAUACGGGCAUCACUGGAGUUCGGCAGGGGAGACUGGAAUUCCUGGUGUAGCGGUGAAAUGCGCAGAUAUCAGGAGGAACACCGGUGGCGAAGGCGGGUCUCUGGGCCGAUACCGACGCUGAGGAGCGAAAGCGUGGGGAGCGAACAGG
rnacentral:rRNA from 1 species